AAGCUGCACAGAUAGAAGGGGGUGGUGAUGGAGGCAGGGGGCAAUAAGAGAAGAAAGAAAACAAAAUAAGACAUAGCUCUUGCACAUGCAACACAACCGGAGCUCCAUCCAUCUCACCUCGUCAGGCCUCAGCUGGCCGAAAGGGACCAGAGGAGUGCGCAAGUGCUAGCUAAAGCCCUCGCGUUUGUUCUUAUGCCAGUUUGGUGAGGUCAGCAAGCUGGGACUGCUGAGGCUGCGUCAUUGGCCGAGCCUGUCACACGGUGCCUGAGUGCCGAACAUGCCCUUUUAUAUAAUCGACGCCACCUCUUUGGCUCACCUCACUCUCUCCUGGUAUGUCUCUUCAAUUUGAACACGCCCACCAAUGUGCCACCUGAUGUCAUGAGGUUGUAAUGAAUUGAACACAAAGCACUGUGGGGAACUACUUAUCGAGAAGGCCUCUGUCACAUACAUGUUCAGGUUAUUGCUUUUUGUUUUUGAGCAGCAAUGUAAGAAACAGUAAAAACAUGUGUAUUCACAUCUGACUGACAACUGACAUUUGUCACGCACGUGAUGACCAGAGGGAAAAAAACAGGCCAUUAAUGGAUUUUUAGAAAUUAUUUCUCAGACUUUUUAUACUCGGUACCACCUUGAAUAAUAUCUAGCUCUCCAAGUACAGCUAUCUGGACAAUAAAAUAAUAAAAUAUAGUAUUGUAGGGGUUAUUUACUGAAACAGAGAGGUUUUGAAAAAAAAUAUUUUAAUUGAUGCUAUUUAAUUUGCACGAUUUCCUUUAAAGUAGAUGAUAUGUACAGUCCACUUAAAAUAAUGUACAACAAAUUGGCUUCAACCAGUAAACAUUCCCUCUCAUCUCCUUUGUGACUUAAAAACAAGGCUCCUUCCGUUCCUACGGCAAUGUAAUCCAAAUUUCUUGACAUUGCCUAUCACUGAGUAAUUGAUCAUUUUUCCCCAUGUCGAGUUACCAUUUGUGACUGUGGUGCCAUUAAACGAUGUUUAGUUAAUUACAUGAAUAUCUAUUCUAUUUAGCGUAUCUUUUGAGCAAAUGAUAGGAACCGAGCUGUAUACUGUAUAGCUUGUAUCGAUGAAUCUAAAAACAUAAAUUUUGCACAUUUCAAUAUACAGGUACAUGUAUUUGACACAGAGUAAAGCUGCAGUCGACGUUGAAAUGUGUUGGAAUGACAAGCGAUGUUUGCGUCAUGUGGCUCAUGUAGAGUCGAUCACUAAAACACAACAAUUGUAUUCAUUUAAAAAAAAUGGAAUAAAAUAUUGACAAAAGGUUCUUUCUUGGCCUAUAAACCGGCACCAUUUGGAAUAAAUAAUUGGGAAACGAAAACAAGUCUUAAUGCCAUGCCUCACAGCUGUAGGCUGGCCUAUGAAUAGAUUUAUUAGGGCAGAUUAAGCGGAGGUGUUACCCAUCCAUUCCUGCUAGUUAAGUGUCGAAACUGAUGAACACUUGAUAUGCCCCAGAGAUCAAAUUUUGGCUUGACUUGUUAGUUUCUGGAUCUUUAUCCUGUAUAUUGAGGUCAAUGUGACAGUGUUUGAUGAAUUCAAGGGUUGAUUUGAACCCAUGUUGACUCUCUCACCUGGACAACCUAACUACACAGCAAAAAAAGAGGUUGAGCACUUAGGGCCCAUUGCUUGGUGUAAAAACUUGCACAUCCUUAUUUUUUUGCCGGGGCAAG